rnacentral:rRNA from 1 species
UACGUAGGGCGCAAGCGUUAUCCGGAAUUAUUGGGCGUAAAGAGCUCGUAGGCGGUUUUGUCGCGUCUGCCGUGAAAGUCCGGGGCUCAACUCCGGAUCUGCGGUGGGUACGGGCAGACUAGAGUGAUGUAGGGGGAGACUGGAGUUCCUGGUGUAGCGGUGAAAUGCGCAGAUAUCAGGAGGAACACCGAUGGCGAAGGCAGGUCUCUGGGCAUUACCUGACGCUGAGGAGCGAAAAGCAUGGGGGAGCGAACAGG